GACGAACGCUGGCGGCGCGCCUAACACAUGCAAGUCGAACGAGCGAGAGAGAGCUUGCUUUCUCGAGCGAGUGGCGAACGGGUGAGUAACGCGUGAGGAACCUGCCUCAAAGAGGGGGACAACAGUUGGAAACGACUGCUAAUACCGCAUAAGCCCACGGUGCCGCAUGGCACAGAUGGAAAAGGAGUAAUCCGCUUUGAGAUGGCCUCGCGUCCGAUUAGCUAGUUGGUGAGGUAACGGCCCACCAAGGCGACGAUCGGUAGCCGGACUGAGAGGUUGAACGGCCACAUUGGGACUGAGACACGGCCCAGACUCCUACGGGAGGCAGCAGUGGGGAAUAUUGCACAAUGGGGGAAACCCUGAUGCAGCGACGCCGCGUGGAGGAAGAAGGUCUUCGGAUUGUAAACUCCUGUUGUUGGGGAAGAUAAUGACGGUACCCAACAAGGAAGUGACGGCUAACUACGUGCCAGCAGCCGCGGUAAAACGUAGGUCACAAGCGUUGUCCGGAAUUACUGGGUGUAAAGGGAGCGCAGGCGGGAAGACAAGUUGGAAGUGAAAUCUAUGGGCUCAACCCAUAAACUGCUUUCAAAACUGUUUUUCUUGAGUAGUGCAGAGGUAGGCGGAAUUCCCGGUGUAGCGGUGGAAUGCGUAGAUAUCGGGAGGAACACCAGUGGCGAAGGCGGCCUACUGGGCACCAACUGACGCUGAGGCUCGAAAGUGUGGGUAGCAAACAGGAUUAGAUACCCUGGUAGUCCACACCGUAAACGAUGAUUACUAGGUGUUGGAGGAUUGACCCCUUCAGUGCCGCAGUUAACACAAUAAGUAAUCCACCUGGGGAGUACGACCGCAAGGUUGAAACUCAAAGGAAUUGACGGGGGCCCGCACAAGCAGUGGAGUAUGUGGUUUAAUUCGACGCAACGCGAAGAACCUUACCAAGUCUUGACAUCCCUUGACAGGCAUAGAAAUAUGUUUUCUCUUCGGAGCAAGGAGACAGGUGGUGCAUGGUUGUCGUCAGCUCGUGUCGUGAGAUGUUGGGUUAAGUCCCGCAACGAGCGCAACCCUUAUGGUCAGUUACUACGCAAGAGGACUCUGGCCAGACUGCCGUUGACAAAACGGAGGAAGGUGGGGAUGACGUCAAAUCAUCAUGCCCUUUAUGACUUGGGCUACACACGUACUACAAUGGCGUUAAACAAAGAGAAGCAAGACCGCGAGGUGGAGCAAAACUCAGAAACAACGUCCCAGUUCGGACUGCAGGCUGCAACUCGCCUGCACGAAGUCGGAAUUGCUAGUAAUCGUGGAUCAGCAUGCCACGGUGAAUACGUUCCCGGGCCU
rnacentral:rRNA from 1 species